UAUUAUUUAAUAAAUAAAAAUAAUAAUAAUAAUAAUUAUUAUAAUAUUAUUAUUAUAAAGAAAUUGAAACACUUAAACAUUCCUCCAUUCAUCAGUAUAGCGAAUAGGGUUUACUCCCCAUUCUCAAAUCUCAACGUUAGCUCCCCAAAACCCUAAAUUCUCAUCAUUUUGACAGCCUAAUCUAGUGUUUCAUUGAAAUUUGUUCUUGAUUUCUUUGUUCAAAGUCACAGUUAUGUCGUCAACUGUUCUUCAUUACUUCUCUAGGGUUCACGACUAUUCAAUUUUGGUGUGUUGUUUUGGGUAAGUUUUGUAUUUUUGUUCUUGACGCUGUCAUCUUUGUGUGAUUGAGUGGGGAUUUUGUGAUUCAACAAGACCCAUAUCACAUUCACUUCAGCCUCAGCAUUGAGAUGUGAAUGAGCUUCCCUAUUUCAAUUCUAGGAGAUUCCAAGAGUAUUAGCUUGAAAUUCUUUAUGGAAGAACUGGUGAUCAUUUGGUGGCGUUCUCUGUUCUGCGGGUCAACAAGCUAAUGAAAUUGUCCAGGGUCAGUUCUCUGCUCUUCUAUGAUUGUAAGUAGUUGUUUAACUAAGUUAAUGUUUUCACAAGCCUUGUUGAUUUUUAUAUAUGAUUUUUAUCAUAAUGAUGGGAAACGUGGCAUUUUGUGUUUCCAUUAUUGUUGACUCGUUAGAUUCAAUUUCUCAACAACAUUCUACAACUCCUAGUUGUUAAAUACACUCAGCCUCUUGUUGAAGCCUACUUGAUCGAUGUGUAAAUAUUUUGAUUAUGCUUUUAGAAGGACAAGAGAAUUUCAAACCACAACAUUCGGAUUACUAAUUGCUUGAGAGAUUCCGCAUUAAUGUGUAAAUAUUUGGAUUAUGCUUUUAAGACGGUAUAUAUAUUCUUGGAAGAAUAUUGUAAGAAGACAAGUUUGUCAAGUCAUUGCGGAGAGGAAUAAAUUUACCUUUAGAAUAAACAAGGUUGGCAUGCCUUAUUUGUCUUGACAUAAUUAACAAAGAAACCAGAAAAGAAGAACUUUUUGCAAGGAAACACAUGUAUUUAUUUGAGGUAGUCUUUGGACAAAUUUGAUCUUAAGUCAUUGUCAUGACGUUGAAGUAUCAUAUUCUUUUUUACUUGGUGUAUUUAUUAUGUUUCUUACAUCUUCGUAUAUUCUAUUUUUCAGAACAACGUGUGUGAUACUAUAUUUCCAUUGAGUAUACAAUUUAGUGAAUAGGUAUUAGAGUUUUUUCUUAAACAAGUAUUAGAGUGUUUUUAUUUUUCACUAUUUUAAUAUAGGAUCAUGUACUCCAUUCGUGUACACUAGUCGUGUCAACUGUUAAGUGAUAUAAAUUUGUAGAAUUUAGAUAGUUAGAAGAGUUGGCCUCUUUGAAUAUUGUGUUGCUUUCUCAUUGAAUUAAAGAAGACAGCAUUUAUAUGACACUCUUAGAGAUUAUACUGGGCACUUUUGUUGCUGUUGUUGUUGUUGUCUUACGUAUGCUUAAUAUGGAGUUUUGCAAAGUUUUUAUCCUUCUUUUGUUGUAUAAUUUACAGGAAGAAAAUCAUAUUUCAUUUGAAGGAUCUGAAGUAGGGACAGCUUUGUUCUCUCACUAUUUGUUUUACUCUGCUGAUAACUUUAUGCAAUUUAUAAGUAAUGGAGGGGAAAAGAGCGUAGGUGUAGAUAGCCAGCGAAAUAUCAGGACAGUUGAGCUGGUUUGUUGAGUGAAAAAUUGUGCCAAUUAGGAUUGUUAGAUUAGCACGUCUUGCUACAUAAGUAAGGAUAGACCAUGCCUAGUGCGCCAUGUGCCUCAUGGCAAGCAGGUUGCUUGCAUGUACGUCGCACACACCAGAGUGUUCAUGAGGGGCAAAGAGCGUAGGUGUAGAUAGCCAGCAAAAUAUCAGGAUGAGCUGGCUUGUUGAGUUAAAAAUUGUGCCAAAUAGGAUUGUUAGAUUAGCACGUCUUGGUAUGUUAGUAAGGAUAGGCCAUGCCUACUGCGCCACGCGCCUCAUGGCAAGCAGGUUGCUUGCCCUGUACGUGGCACACACCAGAGUGUGCACCUGCAUUUUAUCUCUAGUAUCUCAACUUGUCUCCAAUGAUGCCGAAAUCCACCUGAGCUUCUUGGGUACCAACCAAACCACGCCAACAAGUCCUAAAACAUACUCCAUCCGUCCCAAAAUGAUUGUCUUACUUUCCCUAUCAGUUUGUCCCAAAAAGAUUUGACACAUUUCUAUAUUUAGAAACAAUUUAACUUUACGAAAUGAUUUACAGCCACAUAAAUAUCUAAGGCUUGUUUUGGACCACACAAUUCAAAAGUCUCCUUUUAUUUCUUUAAACUCCGCGCCAAGUCAAACUAAGACAAUUUUUUUAGGACGGAGGGAAUAAUAUUAAUUUAUCCAAGACCGCAAAACAUGAAAAUUGAACGUAAAUUCUCCAAACAAGGGUUUGAGUUGUUACAGUUGGUGACAUUCGGCAGGUGGAAACUAAAGGAGAACUCUUUAAUUUGUAAAUAUAAAACUAAGAUGUUAUAGUAAUUUUACCUCUGGAAAGAGCCAAUGAUUUCUUUUGGUGAACAGAGUAUAAUCCAAACUCCUAAUAAAAGGAAAUCUGCAUGGUAGUGACUUGAUUUACAGUUCUAAAGUGUAGGGAUUAAGGCCUUCUUGUAAUUUUUCUCACAGAAAUUCAGUGAGUAUUACAAAUCUUUACCUAAAUAUCUUUGGCUUCUCUUUUAUUUUCUGGUGAGUGUUCUUUGUUUCUUCCCCUUCCCUGUUUGGUUUGUUCACUGAUGUCGACGUUUUCUCUAAUCCUUUCGUAAAGUACACGUAUAUUCUAAGUGCAUUAUUUGAUUGGGAAUUUUCUGAACUCUUUUAGAUAGGCUAGUUGAAAUCAAACAGGAACUCAACCAAAGCUAUCCGGAAACAAGAUCAUGCUGACUAUUUUACUAGGUGACUUCUCUUAUGCCAUUAGAAAUAGGUGAAAACUGCAUUACCAGUACCUUUUUGGAUUCAGAAACUUGCAUCACUCUUAGCUUGGUACCACUUCUCUCUGGUAAGAAACACUGCUAAAUCUCUUUAGGCUUAUUUUUCUCUGCUUAGUAUGUUUCAUAGUACUACUACUACAAGCAUUUAUUUAAUAUAUGUAUAAUAGGUAGGUGGAAUACUUAGAACUAAUAUUGCCAAUGCCGAUAUAUGUAUGUGAUAUAAUAGAUAGAACAA